AGGUCUAGCUUGCUAGAUGCUGACGAGUGGCGCACGGGUGAGUAACGCGUGGAUAACGUACCUUUCGAUUGGGGACAACUUGAGGAAACUCGAGCUAAUACCGAAUACGUUCUUUGAAGCCUCGGCAGAUAAGAAGAAAGCCUUCGGGCGUCGAAAGAUCGGUCCGCGUUCCAUCAGCUUGUUGGUGAGGUAACGGCUCACCAAGGCGACGACGGAUAGCUGGUCUGAGAGGAUGAUCAGCCACACUGGAACUGAGACACGGUCCAGACUCCUACGGGAGGCAGCAGUGGGGAAUAUUGGACAAUGGGCGAAAGCCUGAUCCAGCAAUGCCGUGUGAGUGAUGAAGGCCUUUGGGUUGUAAAGCUCUGUCAGGAGGGACGAAAUGCCCCGUAAGGGGAGCUGACGGUACCUCCAAAGGAAGCACCGGCUAACUCCGUGCCAGCAGCCGCGGUAAUACGGAGGGUGCAAGCGUUGUUCGGAAUCACUGGGCGUAAAGCGCGUGUAGGCGGUUUUUUAAGUCGGAUGUGAAAUCCCUCGGCUCAACCGAGGACGUGCAUCCGAUACUGGAAAACUUGAGUAUCGGAGGGGAUGGCGGAAUUCCUGGUGUAGAAGUGAAAUUCGUAGAUAUCAGGAGGAACAUCUGUGGCGAA
rnacentral:rRNA from 1 species